rnacentral:rRNA from 1 species
UACGUAGGGGGCGAGCGUUGUCCGGAUUUAUUGGGCGUAAAGAGCUCGUAGGCGGUUCGGUAAGUCGGAUGUGAAAUCUCCACGCUCAACGUGGAGGGGCCAUUCGAUACUGCCGUGACUCGAGUCCGGUAGGGGAGUGUGGAAUUCCUGGUGUAGCGGUGAAAUGCGCAGAUAUCAGGAGGAACACCGAUGGCGAAGGCAGCUCGCUGGGACGUGACUGACGCUGAGACGCGAAAGCCAGGGGAGCAAACGGG